rnacentral:pre_miRNA from 1 species
UGUGAGGUUGGCAUUGUUGUCUGGCAUUGUCUGAUAUACAACAGUGCCAACCUCACAGG